AUUGAACGCUGGCGGCAGGCCUAACACAUGCAAGUCGAACGGUAGCACAGAGAGCUUGCUCUCGGGUGACGAGUGGCGGACGGGUGAGUAAUGUCUGGGAAACUGCCUGAUGGAGGGGGAUAACUACUGGAAACGGUAGCUAAUACCGCAUAAUGUCGCAAGACCAAAGAGGGGGACCUUCGGGCCUCUUGCCAUCGGAUGUGCCCAGAUGGGAUUAGCUAGUAGGUGGGGUAAUGGCUCACCUAGGCGACGAUCCCUAGCUGGUCUGAGAGGAUGACCAGCCACACUGGAACUGAGACACGGUCCAUACGCCUACGGGAGGCAGCAGUGGGGAAUAUUGCACAAUGGGCGCAAGCCGGAUGCAGCCAUGCCGCGUGUAUGAAGAAGGCCUGCGGGUUGUAAAGGACUUUCAGCGAGGAGGAAGGCAUUGUGGUUAAUAACCGCAGUGAUUGACGUUACUCGCAGAAGAAGCACCGGCUAACUCCGUGCCAGCCGCCGCCGUAA
rnacentral:rRNA from 1 species